AUGGUGUACAAGCUCAACAAGGCACUGUAUGGCCUCAAACAAGCCCCUCGGACUUGGUAUGACACACUCAAAGACUUCCUGAAGAGCAAAGACUUCAAACCUGGUUCCCUGGAUCCCACUCUCUUCACGAAGACAUAUGAUGGUGAACUGUUUGUGUGCCAAAUAUAUGUGGAUGACAUUAUCUUCGGCUGCACUAAUCAGAAAUAUAGUGAAGAGUUUGGAUAUAUGAUGCAAGAGCAAUAUCAGAUGUCCAUGAUGGGUGAGCUGAAGUUCUUCCUUGGUCUUCAAAUAUGUCAGCAACGCAACGACAUCUUCAUAUCUCAAGAGAAAUACCUCAAAGAUUGCCUGAAGAAAUUUGGAAUGCAAGACUGCAAAGGCUACAUGACGCCAAUGCCAGCCAAACAUCAUCUGGGUCCCAAGGACAAUGGUAAAGAGUUCGAUCAAAAGGUAUGCCACUCCAUGAUUGGUUCUUUGCUUUAUUUAUGUGCAUCUAGGACAGAUAUCAUGCUUAGUGUUUGCAUGUGUGCCCGGUUCCAAGCAGCACCAAAGGAAUCGCAUCACUUAGCUGUGAAGCGAAUUCUUAGAUAUUUGGCUCACACCCCAACACUAGGAUUAUGGUAUCCAAAGGGCUCAGAGUUUGAUCUAGUUGGAUUCUCGGAUGCUGAUUAUGCUGGUGACAAAGUGGAUCGCAAGUCUACA
rnacentral:rRNA from 1 species